UGAGUGGGGGGCUUACCACAACCCAACAGGAAUUCAUUACCUGGCCCUGUGCUACUUCUGCUACCAGAGCUUACUCAACAAAGAAGAUUUCAGAUCAUGAUGACAGCUCUCCACUUUCUUCUUGGUUGCAAAUGGUACAACAGAUUCAAUGAGCACACCUACUAGCUUUAUCUCCAGGCUUUCUUUUGGGGCCUUCACAUUGCAUAAGUACAACACACAUAAAAACACCCAGAAUUUGAAAUCACAACAUAGACAAAAAUCAAAAUUUCCUCUGUCUAUUGUUGCUCACUCAUAGAUGUGUUUUCUUAUCUGGAUAAAAGAACAUACCAAUUUCCUGAUAUCUCAGUAAGCAUCACAGACCUGACAACCCUACAGACAUGCUGUCUGUUUGAGCCAAGCAGCUAGACUGUGGCGAUUUAAAACAUCUACCUCUUUUUGACUUGUCUCAGUGACCUGUCCAGCAGAGAGAGAGAGAAAAUCCACUUUUCUGCCUCUGAAUCGACAGAGCUUAUUCAGUCUUUGUUCUUUCUUUCUGGGACUCAGCAUUCUUCUUGGCACCUCAAGCAUCAGCUGGCAUCAGCUUUAUAUGUACUCUGCUGCAAACAAAUGAUCCCCUCCAAGACAGAGCCUAUGUGGAAAAAGUGCAUCCACUUUUCAGCUUUAUAUGGCUCUGUUCAGCAUCAUGUGGAGUCACAAAUUUGAAGCCAGUAACACUAGUUAAAGAAGAAAUAGCUUCCUUUCAAAAGGAAAGCAAACUUUCAGAUGCAAAAAACUCAUGCUGUCACACAAUCACAUCACCUUUCAGCAUUUGCUCUGCAUUCAUUGCAAUCAUUCUACAUUAAGGGCCACCAUCAUGUUCCCAAAGGGGAGGGAGAAACUGUCUUGCAACAAGUACUCCGGGCAAUAAUACUUAGAAGAUGUGUCCAAGAACAGUCACAGCAGCUUUGUGUUUAGGUGAGGUAUAGUUAACUGAUGAAACAAAAAUAAUCAAGUUCUGGGAAUUUUCACUUUUUGGUCUCUAUGUGGGCACAAGAGGGGAUCCUGUAAAUCAUCUUGA
rnacentral:lncRNA from 1 species